rnacentral:pre_miRNA from 1 species
AGCUGAAUUGCUGGGCAGGGUCUCCUUUGGCAGAUGUUGCUGCAGUCCGACACCGGUGUUUGUCGGGGGUUGACGGCCACUCUACUGCCAAAGGAAAUUUGCCCCGGAAUUCAUCU